rnacentral:rRNA from 1 species
GACGGAGGGUCCAAGCGUUGUUCGGAUUGACUGGGCGUAAAGGGAGCGCAGGCGGUUGAGUAAGUCUAAAGUGGAAGCCUGGAGCUUAACUCCAGAAGUGCUUUAGGUACUGCUCGGCUUGAGUAUGCCAGAGGAAAGCGGAAUUCAGGGUGUAGCGGUGAAAUGCUUAGAUAUCCUGAGGAACACCGGUGGCGAAAGCGGCUUUCUGGGCAUUACUGACGCUCAGGCUCGAAAGCGUGGGGAGAAAACAGG